UCCUCAGGCAUCCCGCGUCUGCCGAUUCCUCCUCCCUGGUCGCCGCGUCCUUGGCUGGCGUAAAAAUGGCUACAAACUUCCUAGUACAUGAGAAGAUCUGGUUUGACAAGUUCAAACAUGACGAUGCAGAAAGGAGAUUCUACGAGCAGAUGAACGGGCCUGUGGCCGGUGCCUCCCGCCAGGAGAAUGGCGCCAGCGUGAUCCUUCGUGACAUUGCGAGAGCCAGAGAGAACAUCCAGAAAUCCCUGGCCGGAACCUCAGGCCCCGGGGCCUCCAGCGGCCCCAGCGGAGACCACAGCGAGCUUGUCGUCCGGAUCGCCAGUCUGGAGGUGGAGAACCAGAGCCUGCGCGGCGUGGUACAGGAGCUGCAGCAGGCCAUCUCCAAGCUGGAGUGCUGGAGACAAGCUCGCCUGGCCACCGGGCCACAGCCCCGCAGACCCAGCACAUGUCUUCCAUGCGCCAAGUGGAGCCCCCGGCCAAGAAGCCAGCCACACCAGCAGAGGAUGACGAGGAUGAU